AGAGUUCGAUCCUGGCUCAGGAUGAACGCUGGCGGCGCGCCUAACACAUGCAAGUCGAACGAUUAAAGCACCUUCGGGUGUGUAUAAAGUGGCGAACGGCUGAGUAACACGUGGGCAACCUGCCCCUCUCAUUGGGAUAGCCACGGGAAACCGUGGAUAAUACCGAAUACUUCGGGACUUCCGCAUGGAAGACUCGAGAAAGCUCCGGCGGAGAGGGAUGGGCCCGCGGCCUGUUAGCUUGUUGGUGGGGUAACGGCCUACCAAGGCAAUGAUGGGUAGCUGGGUUGAGAGACCGACCAGCCAGAUUGGGACUGAGACACGGCCCAGACUCCUACGGGAGGCAGCAGUGGGGAAUCUUGCACAAUGGGCGAAAGCCUGAUGCAGCGACGCCGCGUGCGGGAUGAAGGCCUUCGGGUUGUAAACCGCUUUCAGCAGGGACGAGGCGAAAGUGACGGUACCUGCAGAAGAAGCCCCGGCUAACUACGUGCCAGCAGCCGCGGUAAUACGUAGGGGGCAAGCGUUAUCCGGAUUCAUUGGGCGUAAAGCGCUCGUAGGCGGUCUGUUAGGUCGGGAGUUAAAUCCGGGGGCUCAACCCCCGUUCGCUCCCGAUACCGGCAGACUUGAGUUUGGUAGGGGAAGGUGGAAUUCCUAGUGUAGCGGUGGAAUGCGCAGAUAUUAGGAAGAACACCAGUGGCGAAGGCGGCCUUCUGGGCCAUAACUGACGCUGAGGAGCGAAAGCUAGGGGAGCAAACAGGAUUAGAUACCCUGGUAGUCCUAGCCGUAAACGAUGGACACUAGGUGUGGGGGAAUAUUUCUUCCGUGCCGCAGCUAACGCAUUAAGUGUCCCGCCUGGGGAGUACGGCCGCAAGGCUAAAACUCAAAGGAAUUGACGGGGGCCCGCACAAGCAGCGGAGCAUGUGGUUUAAUUCGAAGCAACGCGAAGAACCUUACCAGGGCUUGACAUCCUGCUGACAGGACCUUAACCGGUCCCUUCUUCGGACAGCAGAGACAGGUGGUGCAUGGUUGUCGUCAGCUCGUGUCGUGAGAUGUUGGGUUAAGUCCCGCAACGAGCGCAACCCUUGCCCUAUGUUGCCAGCACGUGAUGGUGGGGACUCGUGGGGGACUGCCGGGGUUAACUCGGAGGAAGGUGGGGAUGACGUCAAAUCAUCAUGCCCCUUAUGUCUUGGGC
rnacentral:rRNA from 1 species